GCAGUUACAGUGUAUGAAUAACAUAAAUAUGAGCGAAAAUAGGAAAUAAUAAUAAGGUUUGUUAAGGUUUAAGAAAAGGUUUAUGGUUUAGAGGAAAUAACACGGUUAAAGUUUUAGGUUUGAAAUUUAGAGUUUGUGGCGAAAUUGUCAGGGUUUAGGAAAAAUCAGGGUAGUUAGUUAUGAAAAAAAAUGUGCAGAUCUAAAUAUAUGUAUAAAAAAAAAAAUAUGAAUUAAAAAAAACAACGGCGUUGCUAGCGCAAAAUUGCGAUCAUCGCAACUGGAUCGGAUAACACAAAUGUCACGCCUCAUACACGUAUAUGUGAAAACGGCGUAUUGACACGAUCCGAUCCGAAAACAUAAUCAAAUUAUAACAUAAAAUAGAAAUAUAUAUAUAUUUAACCAAACCGCAUGUAUCUGGAAUACAUAACACAGUCACACAUAUGAACAUGUAUUUGAAACACAGUAACAAAUAUAUCAACAAA
rnacentral:lncRNA from 1 species